AUGGGAAUGGGGAGGGACAUGCGUGGACAUGGGGGGACAGAGGGACACGGAAAGACAGAGGGACACGGAGGGACAGAGGGACACGCGUGGACAUGGGGGACAGAGGGACAUGGGAAUGGGGAGGGACAUGCGUGGACAUGGGGGGACAGAGGGACACGGAAAGACAGAGGGACACGUGUGGAUGUGGGGGAGAGGGACACAUGUGGACACGGAGGGACAGAGGGACAUGGGAAUGGGAGGGAUGGGUGUGGACAUGGAGGACAGAGGGACACGGAGGGACAGAGGGACACGCGUGGACGUGGGGGACAGAGGGACAGGGAGGGACAGAGAGAUACGUGUGGACACAGAGGGACACAGGGGACAGAGGGACACAUGUGGAUGUGGGGGACAGAGGGACACACGUGGACACAGAGGGACACGGGGGACAUGGAAAGACAGAGGGACACACGUAGACACGGAGGGACAGAGGGACACAGCCAGAGGGACACGCAUGGACAUGGAGGGACAGGGACACGGAGGGACAGAGGGACACAUGUGGACACGGAGGGACACGUGUGGACAUGGGGGGACAGAGAGACACGGAGGGAUGGAGGGACACACGUGGACAUGGGGGACAGAGGGAUACACAAAGGGACAGAGGGACACGUGUGGACACUGGGGGACAGACAGACACAGGGGGACGCGCGUAGACACAGGGGGACGCGCGUAGACACAGGGGGACAACAGAGGGACAUGCAUGGAUGUGGGGGGACAGAGGGACACGGAGGGACAGAGAGACACAUGUGGACACGGAGGGACAGAGGGACACGUGUGGACAUGGAGGGACACGUGUGGACAUGCGUGGACGUGGGGGGACAGAGGGACACGGAAAGACAGGGACACACAUGGAUACAGGGGGACAGAGGGACACGGAGGGACAGAGGGACAUGGGAAUGGGAGGGAUGGGUGUGGACAUGGAGGACAGAGGGACACGGAGGGACAGAGGGACACGGAAAGACAGAGGGACACGUGUGGAUGUGGGGGAGAGGGACACAUGUGGACACGGAGGGACAGAGGGACAUGGGAAUGGGAGGGAUGGGUGUGGACAUGGAGGACAGAGGGACACGGAGGGACAGAGGGACAUGGGAAUGGGAGGGAUGGGUGUGGACAUGGAGGACAGAGGGACACGGAGGGACAGAGGGACAUGGGAAUGGGAGGGAUGGGUGUGGACAUGGAGGACAGAGGGACACGGAGGGACAGAGGGACACACGUGGACACAGAGGGACACGGGGGACAUGGAAAGACAGAGGGACACACGUAGACACGGAGGGACAGAGGGACACAGCCAGAGGGACACGCAUGGACAUGGAGGGACAGGGACACGGAGGGACAGAGGGACACAUGUGGACACGGAGGGACACGUGUGGACAUGGGGGGACAGAGAGACACGGAGGGAUGGAGGGACACACGUGGACAUGGGGGACAGAGGGAUACACAAAGGGACAGAGGGACACGUGUGGACACUGGGGGACAGACAGACACAGGGGGACGCGCGUAGACACAGGGGGACGCGCGUAG
rnacentral:lncRNA from 1 species